rnacentral:rRNA from 1 species
AGAGUUUGAUCCUGGCUCAGGAUGAACGCUAGCGACAGGCUUAACACAUGCAAGUCGAGGGGCAGCGGGGAGUGGCGACACUCUGCCGGCGACCGGCGCACGGGUGCGUAACACGUGUGCAACCUGCCCGUCACCGGGGGAUAACCCGUGGAAACGCGGACUAAAACCCCAUGAGACGAGAAUGGCGCAUGCCAUGAACGUUAAAACCGAGGUGGUGACGGAUGGGCACGCGGGACAUUAGGUAGUUGGCGGGGUAACGGCCCCCCAAGCCGACGAUGUCUAGGGGUUCUGAGAGGAAGGUCCCCCACACUGGUACUGAGACACGGACCAG